GAUGAACGCUAGCGGCAGGCUUAACACAUGCAAGUCGAGGGGCAACACGGGUAGCAAUACCUGGUGGCGACCGGCGCAAGGGUGCGUAACGCGUGAGCAACAUGCCCUAUACAGGGGGAUAAUCCAGGGAAACUUGGUCUAAUAUCCCAUAGUAUUUAGAGGUGGCAUCACCACUAAAUUAAAGCUUCGGUGGUAUAGGAUUGGCUCGCGUGACAUUAGCUGGAUGGUGGGGUAACGGCUCACCAUGGCGAUGAUGUCUAGGGGUUCUGAGAGGAAGACCCCCCAACUGGGACUGAGACACGGCCCAGACUCCUACGGGAGGCAGCAGUGAGGAAUAUUGGACAAUGGAUGGAAAUCUGAUCCAGCCAUGCCGCGUGCAGGAAGACGGCCCUAUGGGUUGUAAACUGCUUUUAAUGGGAGCAAUAGGUUUACGCGUAGACCGAUGAGAGUACCAUAUGAAUAAGCAUCGGCUAACUCCG
rnacentral:rRNA from 1 species